rnacentral:lncRNA from 1 species
GCCUCAGAUUCCUUUAUCACCCCCUAGGCCGGAGCUGGCGCGACCAAUAAGGUGCCAGGUCCGCGGCCUCCCCGCCACCGACCAAUCACGAGCGAGCCCCCCCGCCGUCGCCUUCCGCCAAUGGGAGAAAGCCCGCGGGCCGGGCCGACGAGGCACACGGACCCCACGAGCGCGGCGGCGGCGGCGACAGCGGCGGGCCAGGCAAGAGCACAACAUGGCGGCGGGCAGGACGGACCGAGCUACAGCAGCGGCCGCGCGAGGAAGUGAGACUCUAUUCCUAGCCCUGGCGGAGAAUGUGAAGAUGAGGCCAGAGGGAACAUUGAGAAGAAGGAUCUCAGAGAAGAAGGAAAAUUCAACAGAACCUAGGAAAUGCAACUGCUAUUGCCUGGGCCUUUGUUCCUGGAAUGGACUCUGCAUGAAGGGGCUGAGCAGGAACAGAGGAUUGCAGUUCUUAGGAUGGCCACGCGAGGGAAGUGGUGAGCAGCCUCCAGGAGGACUUCGGCUCCGCUGUGCCAAGGCACCUGCUGAGGACCCAGAUGGCCCGCCUGGGGUUUCCGGGACUUCCCGGCCCCGAAACAUGUGGGCGCUGGCCAGAGCGCCGCAGGAGAAGCCUCUGCCAGGUUUCAUCGUGCUUAGAACGUCUUUUCCAUCUCCAAGAUUAUUAAAAUAUUCACUCAUGUCUUUUUUCUGAUACAUUAUGGUGUUAAAUAUGUGGCCCACCUGGAAUUUAUUUCAGUGUCGAAUAAGGGCACAACUUUUUGUAAUUUCCCCAAAAGACUUGCUGGUUAUUCCACCCAUUUGAUCUCCGCCCCCCCCCCCCCAACCUCCUACCAACACUGCCACCCAUUUGUCUGAAGUGCUGUCUUUUAUUCAUUCAUUCAUUUAGAGAUAAGGUCUUGCUCUGUUGCCCAGGCUGGAGUGCAGUGGCGUGAUCACAGCUCACUGCAGCCUUGACCUCCCAGGCUCAGGUAAUCCUCCCACUUCAGCCUCCCUGGUAGCUGGGACUACAGGUGUGUGCAAUCAUGCCCAGAUAAUUUUUUUUUUUUUUUUUUUUUUUUUUUUUUUUUUUUUUUUGAGACAGAGUCUUGCUCUGUUACCAGGCUGGAGUGCAGUGGCAUGAUCUCAGCUCACUGCAAC